UUUGCCACGUCACUGCGACGAGUUCAUCUCGGCGUUGCCUUUCCAAGAGUACAGCGAUCCUAGAUCAGGAGUUCUCAACAUUGCUACUAAGCUUCCUGAGGGAGUUCUUAAACCUGAUCUUGGUCCUAAGACUUACAUUGCGUAUGGGAAUGCUGAUGAGCUUGGGAGAGGGGACUCGGUCACUAAGCUUCAUUGUGAUAUGUCAGAUGCAGUAAAUAUUCUGAUGCAUACGGCUGAAGUAACACUAAGCAAGGAGCAAUUGACUGCAAUAGAAGCUUUGAAGAAGAAACACAAGCAGCAAGAUGAAAAGGAGCUUCAAGAUCAGAAUGAUUUAGACAGAGGAGAGAUUGUUGCUGUUAAUGAUGAGAAUGGGUUUCAUCAUGAUGAGACAGGGAGUGCGCUUUGGGACAUAAACAUUUCGUUCAUCUGGGUCUAAUGAAAUCUAGAAAAUAAUCUAUGUAAUAAUCUUUGAUUGUGGUUUUUCAUCAUUUUCAGUUUUUCCAAUUUUAUGUUUAAUAACCAAAAAGAGAAAAAUUUCCACCAAAUUCACUAUUUUAUCUCUUUGGCAUGAGUUUAAUAAAAUCUGAAAAAUAUUGUAAGUACAUUUUCACCAUCCUCUUUUUUUUUUCCUUGAAAUAUAUUUAUUAUUAAAUUAUAUCAUCUAAUUUAACUAAAUUAUUAUUGUAUAAUGUGUUUUUUUUCAUCUGGAAUCAUAUUUGUGGAUGGUUGACCCCUUAGCGCUUUCCUCAUAUUGUCUAAUUCAUUGUUUCCCGUCAACUGGUAAAAGGGAGCCGACUUGGUGGUAGUUAUGGCCAUGAAUCCUGCAACUAAAAAGGCCCGUGUCAUGUGACUGUUUAUCAACUUCAGCACCCAUAGAUCAAAGCUAGCAUACCGUUGGCAACAUGGAUUUUGAUUUGGAAGCUAGGAGUCUCGAGAAGGUCUUUCAAGGGUGAUGGUGGCUCAUGGACUUGCGGGCAGCAGAUGCUGAACCUUCAAUCUGCUGCAUCUAAGACAUCCCUAACGAAUUCUCCAUUCCAUAGUAAACAUCCCUAACCAGCUCCCAUUUCCCUGCUUUUGUUGUUUGAGUGAUUCAUGCAAAGGAAUGUAAUUAAAAUUUUGUUACUAACGUAGAGCUGGGAAGUCAAACAAAAGAUGGGUGUCAGUGUUGUCUUAAAGAUAGCAGGAUUUCUAUAUUUUACUAAAUUCUGGGGAAGUUAAUCUAACUUGAGAUUUUGGAAGCAGAUGCAUUGAAGGCACGAAUUGGAAGCCGCGUUGCUCGUUACCGCGUGCCGUACCUAAGAAGUAAAUUUAAGGUAGUCAAAUUUUAUACACACAUCAAGUUCAGUUAAUUUACCCGUUUGUUUAGGUUUCUACCGUGUCUAGUGGCCAGAUCGAUCUGCUAUAACAAUGCGGGAACCAUGUGAUUAGGUGAGGACCAGAAGCACAUACCGGGUGCAGUCAUUUGAUACACCGCCUGUUAAGACAGUCGAGAGUUUGUAUUGUUUAAGUAAGAUAUGUUUCAAAAAUAGUUCUGUAAGUAUUACUUAAGAGAAAGAGAGGGAGAGAUGGUAAUUUUACCUUGCGCAGCUGAGUUAUGAUGUCUCAUUGAUGUGUGUUCCUCAGCAUGUUUGCCUGCAACAGUUUUAUUGUUGUUAAAAGGUUGAUUGCCUGCAGCCUGCAGGGAACUGGGUUUGUGAAUGAAUGGGAAAUUUCUCUUUUUUGGAAACACAACUAACCUUAUGUUACGUUUUAGAAGCUUGGCGUUGCGCGAAAGCAUCCUGUUGGUGCGGGGGAACUUGCUCAAAGCAUCUACAUAGUAAGACCGUAAAUUUUAUGAGACGGUGGUGAAAACCAUAAAUUUUCUACACUGCCCUGAUUAUUGUUUGAACUUACUCAUCGCUGAUAUAGUAGCUUUUGUGACAUUUACAACUGGAGUGCCAGUGCUGCUCAGAUAGUUCUCAGGCUGGAAGUAAGCAUGCUAUUAUAAGCACGAUGGGAUUAAAGUUGUUUCAUAUAGUCCUUCAGAUGUAGCGUUACAUGUAGUAAGCAAGAGCUGUGAGACCACUGUUUUCUUACUUGGUUUGCAGGAGAGGCCUUACUAUAAGAUCACUUCAUUAUCUUCCCCAGGAGCUUCACCAAGUGUUGGAACCAUCAUAGUUCCUUUUUUGGGAGUUUUGAUGGUUGGUUGCAGGUCCAGGGAGAGUGUAAAAGUAAACCAAACAGAGAUCAGUAAGCUUUGUCAUUCUGAUUCUAUUUUACAGGAAAUUUGCUAACCUUUUCGUCAACGUCUAAAUAAAAUAAAAAGAUUACCUUGGCUGUGCUUCUCAUGUCCAUUCCAGUACCACCAACCCUGUUCUGAAAGAUCGUAGAAACCCCAAAUUAAAAGGUAAAAAAAAAACAGAACACAUAACUCUUUUCUUUGUUGUUCAAGAUGAAAUUAUCAAGCAACAAACCAGUGAGAAUGACAAAACAUUGUCUUUUAAAUCUGAACUGCAGAAAGAGAGAUGAGGAAGAAAAAGUUACUGAUAUUUUGAGUACAAAAGCCAAGAAAUGGCAAAACUAAUUCAUGAAAGGAGCAUAUUGUAUGGUAAAAUAAUCAUACAGAAAUAUUACCCAAAUAAUUUUUUCGUUGGAGGAGCUUAAUUUGACGACUUUGUUUCUCUGACAACUGGUUAACAAAACAGACCCAUAGUUACGACAAAGAAAGAGGAAAUCAGAUGCCAAUAUAUUCUAAGUGGACGAAAUGGCGUUUAGCUAAUAAGAAUGAGGGGUACUUACUUGUCAAGCUUCUCUUUUCCUACAGUCUCAGAGUCACAAUAAAUAUGGAUUCCAGAUGUUAAGUUCAGAAAUAGCCCACCUACAAAUAAUAUAUUAAGUUUAUGUGAAGCUAUGUCUGGUGAAAACAUUUUUGCAAUGAAUUACUCCAAAGCUAUAUUAAUAUGCAUAAACUACACAUAGUAGCAAGUUUAUAACCUCCAAGGACAAUAUUUGGUUCACUUCCGUAGCUUUCAAAUUUGUUAUGAAGGCAAGCCAAGGAGUUUAAACAUACUGACACAGACGGUUACAUCCCUGCAAAAAUGCAAUGAUAUUGAGACGCGGUAGGCAUACGUAUAAAUAUGGACUAUAACCACGCGAGAUUAAACAAUCGUAAGUACCUCUCUAGACGUAUAGUAAGCAUUACACGUUGUGCCUCAGAUGAACGGUCCUUGAUUGUGCUCCUGAUUGCACUUACCUCACCAGUCUAAGAAAUUUGUUAAGUGGAAAUACCAACUAACUCCUAAAAUCACAAAAACAUACCAGGUAGCUGUCUGUUUCUGUUCGCCAAAGUAAGCAGUUAGCCGUAUGAACGGAAAAGGAAAGCUUCAGUUAGUAUCAGCUUAGUGGACUCUUGACAACUUUUCAAAAUAAGUGCCAAAUGUUGUUGCUCCGCUUUACGUCGAAACCGCUCAUCCUGUAGACUGAACCUUCACUGAAACGAUCACUGAAAUUGUUGAGAUGGUUCGCACUGACGGACCCUUGCAUAAGAAUCGAUAGUUUGAAUAGGAUCCGGAAGUGAUUAUCUUUCCUCAAGGAAUAGCAUGUCAACCCCCAUCAGCUCGCUUCCUCUCUUGGCAUUUCUCCGAGAACCUAAGAAGACAAAGCUCAGUUAAUCAGCAAGAAAAGAGUAGGAAGUUUCCAUUUUUGGAGUUAGUAAUCACCAGAGACAAUACUUCUAGAUUUCACAGAGAUGGAGCUGUAUAACGCUCGGAGCAUUGAAAUUUAUAGGAGGAGCCCUCCCGUGGGUUGCGUAUGAAGAUGGUGAGGUCGAUUAAGGUAUAAAUCAAUGGAGAAAGAAGGCGUUACCGGAAGUUCAUCGGAGGAGGCUUCAGGGAAGGGAAGGGUCGGCGACGAUGUUAAUCUAAUGGAUCUAAGCACUAAGCAAUGAUACGUUGGGCCUGAAUAAAAAAAGAGAACAGAAGCCUAGUUAUAGACAUAACCAGGUUUGGUUAAAAGUCAGAAAUUGCAAUGACCCACUUAGCGUUCGUUAAAGAAAAAAUUGGAGAAUAAUUAAAGUGUGACACGUGUCCAAAAAUGCCCCAUCCUGAAAAAUGAUGUGGAGGGCUAAGGUGAGAGAAAACUCCCCUUUAUAUAUAUAGAUAAUAUUGACUGGCUCCGUAAAUGCUAACAAAUCAAAUAACUUUCUGACCAAACUCAAAAUAAUAUAAUCUUUCAGAUGACAAAAAAAAAAAGAAUGGAAGGUAACUUUUUUGAAAGAUUUGGACACACUGUACAUAGUUUAUUUCCCCCUAGAUAAUAGAAAAGAACUUAUCCUUUUUUUACUGACAAAAAGGGGAAACAAUCAAAACAUUUCUAUAUAAUCUGUUUGACCAAAAAUAAACAUUAUCAUUAUAAAAACAUGCAUCCAUGCGUAGGAAUGUAGGAUUAGUCCGUCUCUUUUUUUGUAUUCCGGUAAAGAAAAAAUAUCUUCCUGCUUUCUUCUGUAGGACGAGUGAAGCACGUGACCGUCACGCGCAAUCAGCAUCGCUUUUGGCGUGUACGUGAGCGAGACUCGGUAAGUAUUUAAACAACAUUUUCACUCAAAGAAUCAUCAUAUAGCUUUGGUUGAUGUGACCGACGCCGAAUCGGUGCUUCGGCUCUGUAGCGCCAAUUAGAAACAGCCACGUCGCUAAUCAAAUUCACAUCAAACGUACGGUCUCGUUCGUAACGAGUCAGUCGCUAAUGCAUUUAGAAGCGGCGCUUUAAUAGUUCUUUUUUACUGUUUAAAAAAAAAAAGAUUUUGUAACCUUCCUUGCCAUUAAAACUCUUUCUUCUUUGAAUGGAAAAAAAUCUUUUCCUUUUAUUUUCUUCUUCAAUGUUCUGUUGAAAUCAUGUCUGUUAAAUUGUGCAGCUGAGUCCAGUGUUCGUCUUGUGUUAUUCUAUCUGACAGGUGAUACUACUCUCUCUCUCUCUCUCUAACCUGUUUUGUUCUUUUAUCUGUUCAUGACUUGAGUCACUCCUCUGUUUGGUUUUUGUUUCUCUGAUAUUGGGGUAUUUAUUACUAAACUGUAUAUUGAUUCAACAACCUGUGUAACCAUACUCGUUUUGAUAUUAAUUUAAGAUUGCAGAAACAUUGAAAAUUUUGAUUUUUUUUUUGGUUGUUGAAAUUGAAUUUAGGCAGGUGGAGUUUUGAUGAAAAUGGAAGCUGUUGUCACUGACAAUGGAGUCAAUCUCAAGCAUAAUGGUCUAAUGGACACUAAACCGGAGAAGGAGAAACCGGUUAAGCCAACAAGUUUGAGCAGUGGUUCAGACAUAGAAGAAGAAGAAGAAGAAGAGGAGAGAAGUGUGGGAUCUCUGAAGCGAGUGUCUAAUAAGAAACGGAAACGGUCUAUUGCUGAUGAAGGUAGAGUGGCUAAAACCAAAUCUUCAAGAGAGAAGAGAGCUGCAAAUAGGCGCAAAGAAAAAAUAAAUGGUGGUGAAAAGAAACUGAAGCAGAGAAGCUCUGUGAGAAGAAGAGCUAAAACAAAGAAAGAAGACAAGGAACGAGAACAAGAACUGUCACUAGUUCCUUUCAUCGAGCCAACAGAUGCUGGUAACAGUUCUGAGUCAGACUCUCAUGUGAAAAACGAUAACUUCAAUGACUGCAGAAGCAUGACAAGGAGUUUAAGGGUAAGAACGUUGUUCUUACAUUAUGUGAUUCUUGUCUGAAACUCACUUUGUUUUUCUCCUUACACAGGCAGCUUUGGGAGAGCUUGCGAUUUGCCAUCAAUGCUUCAAAGGAGAAAGAAGAUUUCUUUUCAUUUGCACUUUCUGUGAAGAGAAGUUGUAUUGUUUCCCAUGCAUCAAGAAAUGGUAUCCUCACUUGUCCCACGAUGAUGUCAUAGAGAAGUGUCCCUUUUGCCGAGGAACUUGCAACUGUGACGUAUGUUUGCAGUCAAGUGGAUUAAUAGAGGUAUAUUGAUUGCUUUAUAAACAUAGUUAUAUGUUUCUUUUCCUUCUUGUAAAGAUUCUCAAGAUUGAUAUGUGUCUUCUUUGUCUUACAGACAUCAAAGAGGAAGCUCGGUGAUAACGAAAGAUUCCAUCACCUUCAGUACUUGAUUGGAUCAAUGCUUCCUUUCCUGAAAAAGCUAUGCAAAGCGCAAGAUGAAGAGAUUGAAAACGAGGCUAAGAUUCAAGGUACAUAUAGAUCUUCUGCUACUAUACUAACUAGGUAAAGAACCCGUGAAAUCAUGCGAUCAUACAGAAACUCGUUUAAAAAAAAUAAAUAUGCCAUAUUUUAUAAAUUUAACCUUUUAUAUAAACUGUUUACAAUUGCCUUUGAAGAAAUAGAUGUGUUACAUGCAACUAUAUUCAUUUAUUAAAAAUACUAAAAAUCUAUAUUUUGUUUAUACGUUUGGUUGUAAUAAAAUUAGAAGUAUAUUAUCUUUGGUACAAGCUAACAUGUUGUUAUGUUCUAUAUAGGACUAAUGACUUCCCAAGUUGAUGUAUCCGAGACUCUAUGCUCAAACGAAGAGAGAGUCUUCUGGUAAGAGUUACAUGACAAUCUACAUGCUACUUGUUUUAUUUAUUACUGAAGUAUAUCAUUUGUGAUGAUGCAGUAACCACUGUGCAACUUCAAUAGUUGACUUGCACCGAAGCUGUCCAAAAUGCUCUUACGAACUUUGCCUCAGCUGCUGCCAAGAGAUCCGUGGAGGGCUGUUUUCAGAACGUCCGGAGUUGAAGUUGAAUUUUGUUUAUAGAGGCAGCAGAUACAUACAUGGUGAAGACGCAGAACCAAGCUCCUCUUCUGUUCUUGACGAUGAAGCUAAUGAUGAUAAACCGUCUGUUAACUGGACUGCUAAUGAUAACGGGAGAAUAACAUGCGCUUCUAAAGACCUUGGCGGCUGCGGUGAAUGUGUUCUGGAGCUGAAACGUAUCUUACCGUUAACUCGGAUGUCAGAUUUGGAGAAAAAGGCAGAGAGCUUCUUAGCUUCUUGCAGCGUCAAGUCUCUGACUGUGUCUAACUGCAGAUGUGAUUCUGAUUUUGAGAUGAGUAUGAUGAGGAAAGCAGCUUCUAGGAGCGGUUCAAAUGACAACAACCUCUACUCUCCUGACUCUUUCGACGUCCUGAAGGAAGAGGAGCUUCUCCAUUUUCAAGACCACUGGCGCAAAGGCGAGCCAGUGAUCGUUAGAAACGCUCUCAACAACACAGCUGGUUUAAGCUGGGAGCCGAAGGUGAUGUGGAGAGCGUUAUGCGAGAAUGUUGACUCAGCGAUGUGUAUAGAUUCUUUAGCCAACUGCGAGGUGAAGAUCAAAACUCGUGACUUCUUCGAAGGAUACAGCAAAGGGAGAUCGUACGGUAACUUAUGGCCUGAGAUGCUGAAGCUCAAAGACUGGCCUCCUUCGGAUAAGUUUGAUAACCUUUUGCCACGUCACUGCGACGAGUUCAUCUCGGCGUUGCCUUUCCAAGAGUACAGCGAUCCUAGAUCAGGAGUUCUCAACAUUGCUACUAAGCUUCCUGAGGGAGUUCUUAAACCUGAUCUUGGUCCUAAGACUUACAUUGCGUAUGGGAAUGCUGAUGAGCUUGGGAGAGGGGACUCGGUCACUAAGCUUCAUUGUGAUAUGUCAGAUGCAGUAAAUAUUCUGAUGCAUACGGCUG
rnacentral:lncRNA from 1 species